GAUGAACGCUGGCGGCGUGCCUAAUACAUGCAAGUCGAGCGAACAGACGAGGAGCUUGCUCCUCUGACGUUAGCGGCGGACGGGUGAGUAACACGUGGAUAACCUACCUAUAAGACUGGGAUAACUUCGGGAAACCGGAGCUAAUACCGGAUAAUAUAUUGAACCGCAUGGUUCAAUAGUGAAAGACGGUUUUGCUGUCACUUAUAGAUGGAUCCGCGCCGCAUUAGCUAGUUGGUAAGGUAACGGCUUACCAAGGCAACGAUGCGUAGCCGACCUGAGAGGGUGAUCGGCCACACUGGAACUGAGACACGGUCCAGACUCCUACGGGAGGCAGCAGUAGGGAAUCUUCCGCAAUGGGCGAAAGCCUGACGGAGCAACGCCGCGUGAGUGAUGAAGGUCUUCGGAUCGUAAAACUCUGUUAUUAGGGAAGAACAAAUGUGUAAGUAACUAUGCACGUCUUAACGGUACCUAAUCAGAAAGCCGCGGCUAACUACGUG
rnacentral:rRNA from 1 species